GAUGAACGCUGGCGGCGUGCUUAACACAUGCAAGUCGAGCGGUAAGGCCUUUCGGGGUACCCGAGCGGCGAACGGGUGAGUAACACGUGGGUGAUCUGCUCUGCACUUCGGGAUAAGCCUGGGAAACUGGGUCUAAUACCGGAUAUGACCUCCUAUCGCAUGGCGGGUGGGGGAAAGAUUUAUCGGUGCAUGAUGGGCCCGCGGCCUAUCAGCUUGUUGGUGGGGUAAUGGCCUACCAAGGCGACGACGGGUAGCCGACCUGAGCGGGUGACCGGCCACACGAGGACUGAGACACGGCCCAGUGUCCUACGGUGGGCAGCAGGGGGGAGUAUGGCCCAGUGGGCGCGAGCCUGAUGCAGCGACGCCGCGUGAGGGAUGACGGCCUUCUGGUUGUAAACCUCUGUCAGCAGGGACGAAGCGCAAGUGACGGUACCUGCAGAAGAAGCACCGGCUAACUACGUG
rnacentral:rRNA from 1 species